rnacentral:lncRNA from 1 species
GGGAGAGGAGGAGGAGAAGAAGAAGAAGAGGAAGAAGAAGAAAUAGAAGAAAUAACGAAGGAAUUAAAAGAGCAAGAUGUGUUCAUCUUUUUUGGGAUAGGAACUGAGACAUACGAUCUCUUUAGACGGACAUUAACACCGGAAUUCAAUCAAUUUCACUGAAAUUCAAUGAUUUUUUUGGAAUCCAAAACAACUUUCUUGGAAUUUUCACUUUUUCUCUUCUUUUUUUUUUUGUCAAAAUCGAUUUUCAAGUAUGUUUCUUCUCA